rnacentral:tRNA from 1 species
UUAAAGGAGACCUACCCGCUCAGAUAUUGAAAACAAAUUGUGAUUAGAUAUUGAGUUGGUCAUCCUAAAGGUCGGUCGCGACAGUUGUUUAUAGCUUUCAAACUAUAUUUUGGUUCGUAUGGGCUAUUAGCUCAGGUGGUUAGAGCGCACCCCUGAUAAGGGUGAGGUCCCUGGUUCGAGUCCAGGAUGGCCCACCUGAAUCAAUGCAAAAUUUGAAAGAGCAAACAUUGUGUAUUUUGAAUUUUGAAUUGUGUCUGGGGGUUUAGCUCAGUUGGUAGAGCGCCUGCUUUGCAAGCAGGAUGUCAGCGGUUCGAGUCCGCUAACCUCCACCAGAAAGUGAAAUGAGGGAAAAAGUUCAGCAACUGAGCAAUAUUUGCCAGACUGCUGGAUAAAUAUCCAGUAAUAGAACCUUGAAAACUGCAUAGUGAUAGCGAAUAAGCAGGCAGACACAGACACUCAGAUAAUUUGAGUUGUGUUUGCAUUGAUAACCAAUUGUUGAAGU